rnacentral:lncRNA from 1 species
GUAACCCGUUGGGGUUUUCUGUGCUGUGAUAAGGUUUGUUCGUUUGCAUUUGGCGUCUGCGUUGCCUUUAUGAGCUGUAGCGCUCACUGCGAAAAUUGUCACUUUAUUUCUGAAGUGGGUGAGAUGACGAGCCCGGCAGGAGGAACGAAACACUCAUCUGUGAAAGUUGCAACUUCAUUUCUGAAGUAGGUGAGACGACUCUGUGAAAGUUGCAACUUCAUUUCUGAAAUUUCCCAUUUUGGCCACGCUUCACAUGCGACACAUAUAGAAGUACACAGCAGCUUCCCCCCUUACCUGCAAGGGAUAUGUUCAGAGAUCUCCAGUGGAUGCCUGAAACUAUGGAUAGUACUGAAUCCUAUAUAUACUGUUUUUUUCUAUACAUAUAAUAAAGUUUAUAAAUUAGGUACAGUAAGAGAUUAAAAACUCAAAAUAUGAGUUAAACUCAUAUGCAAUAUAAUAUAUGCAAUAAAAUUGAAAUACUGUCAAACUCU